rnacentral:sRNA from 1 species
CGUUACUGCAUUUUGCAGUGCGUUUCCUCCCUAGACUUCAAAGGCCGCGCCCCUCGGGGCUGCGGCCUUUUUUUCUGCCCGGA